rnacentral:rRNA from 1 species
GAGUAGGACCAAACUCCAAAAACUAUCCAGAAUGGCGGUUUUUUUUACAAUCAGAUAGAUGUGUUUUUAAAACGAAAUUACACGAAAAUCUUUCUUGAGCUAGAAAUCUUAUUUGUAUCUAAUUCAACAUUUAGGUAGAAAAGGUCUUCAUCCUGUACACCGCCGUCUGAAGGGUCAAUUUAGAUUGUUAACCCAAAAGUAAUCAUAAAACAUAAGUCAGGUUAGGUGCAGAUUAUGCUCAAGAAGAAAUGCAUUUCACUAAAAUGACCAAUAAGAAUUUGCAAUAUUUCUGUAAGGAGAAUUUGAAUGUAAGCGCUUUUAAUAAUAAAGCCCUGAAUCAGUACCAAAAAAAUGU